rnacentral:lncRNA from 12 species
UUAGUUCAGUAAAAGUAACUACACUGACACCUGUGAAAAUAUCAGGAGAAGAUCUGUCAUUUCUUUUAGGUGCUCUCAGCUAAAAUCUGAACAUUAUCUGAAGAAGGGAAGAGAAAAUGCACCAAGAUCUGAAAUCAAACUAAAGCUGUUUGAUAAUCAGCUUGGUUCUUCAGAGAAGAUGACUCAUCCCAGUAUGAUGACAAAGGUCACUAUGUGAUGGAUAUUCCUGGUCCAACUCCGGAAAGGCCUGUCAUUGUGUGGAGGGGUGAGAUGGAAGGAUUGAGAACUUUGUCAAGUUACUGCAAUCUGGGAUAUGUGUUUAUUGCUUACAUCCCCAAAGUCGAGAUUAAAAAGGAAACAACAGGAGCAAGAGAAAUCAGGCCGAGAAAAUUUGCAAGAACAGUUGUAAACAUGAGAAGAUGGAUGUUGGUUGAUUCCGGGGCUGAGAGUGAAGGCCUAUUAGGCUCCAUAUGGAAUCAGUAACACUGUCUCCAGUGAUGUAUGAAUUGUUAUGGUUUUGAGUUGACAUCUUCCUGAAUCUGAAUGAGCUGCAGCGCUAUGUAUACUGUCACUUUUAAAAACAGGUUUCAUACAUCUGAACCCAUACACUGAACAAAUGAAUAAAAAUGAUUCUAUAAAAGCA